CACAAUGGGCAAUUUCCACAAUGCCGCCAGGUUCAAACACUCAAAGAAUUGUCCAUUAUUACAAGUUCCAUCUCCAAAAAACGCCAAUGUCACAUCCUCGCUAUCUCCCUCCUUCAAAACCUCCCUUUUAUACUUAGAGGUAAAAGCUGCACCAGUUGCUACUGGAAUUCCCUCACCAAUAAACGCAAAACCACCAAGCAAAUUGUGCUCUUUCGAAAACAUGUGCAUAGAUCCACCUUGGCCUCGACAACACCCGGUGGUCUUGCCAAAGAG
rnacentral:misc_RNA from 1 species